rnacentral:rRNA from 1 species
AAAUUGAAGAGUUUGAUCAUGGCUCAGAUUGAACGCUGGCGGCAGGCCUAACACAUGCAAGUCGAGCGGUAGCACAGAGAGCUUGCUCUCGGGUGACGAGCGGCGGACGGGUGAGUAAUGUCUGGGAAACUGCCUGAUGGAGGGGGAUAACUACUGGAAACGGUAGCUAAUACCGCAUAACGUCGCAAGACCAAAGUGGGGGACCUUCGGGCCUCAUGCCAUCAGAUGUGCCCAGAUGGGAUUAGCUAGUAGGUGGGGUAACGGCUCACCUAGGCGACGAUCCCUAGCUGGUCUGAGAGGAUGACCAGCCACACUGGAACUGAGACACGGUCCAGACUCCUACGGGAGGCAGCAGUGGGGAAUAUUGCACAAUGGGCGCAAGCCUGAUGCAGCCAUGCCGGGUGUGUGAAGAAGGUCUUCGGGUUGUAAAGCACUUUCAGCGGGGAGGAAGGCG